UACGUAGGCAGCAAACGUUGUUCGGAAUUACUGGGCGUAAAGAGUGUGUAGGCGGCUUUGUUAGUUUGGUGUGAAAUCUCCCGGCUUAACUGGGAGGGUGCGCCGAAUACUGCAAGGCUAGAGUACUGGAGAGGAAAGCGGAAUUCCUGGUGUAGCGGUGAAAUGCGCAGAUAUCAGGAGGAACACCGGUGGCGAAGGCGGGUCUCUGGGCCGAUACUGACGCUGAGGAGCGAAAGCGUGGGGAGCGAACAGG
rnacentral:rRNA from 1 species